CUUCACUGCUUUUAGCGAUGAAGAGGUAGAAGCUGUGUCGCCUAUCCCAGCUUUGCCACCGAAUCACCACCAUCACCAUCACCACAACCAUGUUCACCCACCGAGUCAUGCCCCUGUUGUCUCUCCCAUGCAUGCUCCAGCUCAUGCACCCGUUCACCCACCAAAGCCGCACCCACACCCACACCCAUCGGUUCAGCCUCCCAUGCACUCUCCAAAACCACACCUACCGGUUAAACCACCAGUUCACCCUCCCGUACACUCUGCACCACCAAAGCCAUUACCACAUCCACACCCACACCCACCAGUUAAACCACCAGCUGAGGCACCGAUCUACCACUUCGAAAGAAGCUUUGUUUCCGUGCAAGGGGUUGUUUAUUGCAAGUCAUGCAAAUAUUCUGGAGUUGAAACUCUCUUGGGAGCUUCACCACUUUCUGGUAAGUCAGUUCUUGACAUUAUUUAUUGAAGUCUUGACUACACAUUGCUCUUAUUUUCCUUUUCUUUUAUGAUUCUGUAUAUGUGAAACUGUUUAAUUUCUUGGAUGUGCAUUUUCAUGGAAAAUGUUCGUUUUUCUUAAAAUUUUAUUUUGAAAGACUUCAUCUUCAUGCAUUGGUUGGUUAAAGAUUGAAAUUUGAGCAAGAAAGAAAGUUGUUUCCUUUUUUCUAGGUGCAUGUAAGACCAAUAGCUUGCUCUCUCUUUUAGGUACAUGAGCUGUUGUCGUAAAUGGAACCCUAUGUUUCACUCCGUGACCAUUUUCAAACUGUAAAAGCAAAAGCAUUGAGAAUCACGUUUGUGCUUUUGACCAGUAAUUACUGACUGACUAUGCUUUAUUUGCAUGUCAAUUUUUGAAAUAUUAUGACAGGUGCAACAGUAAAACUGCAGUGCAAUAAUACAAAAUACCCACUAGAAGCCAAGGCUACAACGGACAAAAAUGGUUACUUCUUCCUUGAAGCACCAAAGAGUAUCACCAACUUCGGGGCCCACAAAUGCAAGGUGUCAUUAGUCUCUGCACCAAACACCGCUUGCAGCAAGCCAACCGACCUCCACGGCGGAGUUAGUGGUGGCUUGUUGAGGCCGGAGAAGAAAUAUAUUUCAAAUAAGCUUCCGUUUGUUCUGUUUACAGUUGGACCAUUUGCCUUUGAACCCAAGUGCCCUCGUUAAAUUAAUGAAUAACCAAUAAUGUGUUAUGUACUCGUGAAGUUAAAUUUAUGAAUCAAUGUCCCAACAAGUCUUACUUUAAUUAUAGUGUGCUUCUUUCGGCUGUAAGUGUGUCGAUGUAUUAAUUCAUCUUUGUGGGAAAUAAAUGAUAGUAUUAGCAUCUUUAGAUCAGUGAUUAAUCUUACUGUAGGUUUUACAACCGGUAGUAGCAAGUCACCUUUGGGUUAAGCCUAUCCUGCUAGCUCACUUCACUUGGCUGCUAAUUAAUUUUUCUUCACCUUUAGAAAAAGUUUAUCCUGCCAAAGCGGGAGCCUAAAAAAAAAGUUGUUGAAAAGAAAUUGUUUUCUGAAAAUGAGUAAGACAAAGCAUGGCAUUGGGCCUUCUUUUAAUUUGAUUUGGAGUACUAAUUUUAUUUCUGUGGCGAAUGGGGUCUUGUAAAAAUAUGGCGAAUGGCUAAUCAUCAAUAAUUCCCUGAGUGGGCCCCGAUUAUGGGUUCCAGCUAAUCCAGGUGAUAGAUAUAUGAUGGCCCACCUUGUAGGAAUUUUCUCCAAAUAUUCCGAUUUUUAAUUUUAUUUUAUUUUUACAUAUGAAAAAAUUGGAGACUUUACAAUUAAAGUCAAAACCCAAAUUAUAUGUAGUAUUAAUAGAAUAUUGUUUAUUAUAUUAGGGACUUGUUUGUAAUUUGUCAGCAACUUAUAUGUAAUUUCAACUCGUUUGCCAUUCGUAACCCAGUAAAGGAAAGUGUAAAUUUCAACUUAUAUGUGAUUUACUUUAUAAGCCAUGUUUUAUUUUUUUAAAACACUGUCCAUUUACCUUUCUUCUAAUUCCAAUAAUAUGUUAUGAAAUUUGGUUUAAAAACAAAAUGGAAAAAUUACCUUUUAUUAUGUAAUUCAUGUCUAUUCCAAUGUAUAUUUAAAUUUUGUGAAUUCCAAUUUGUAAUGUCAGAAUAGGAUUGCGUUCUUUUUUUCUUUUUUUUUUUUAAAUUUAUGCAUAUGUGAACUUUUAGCGAGCUUUUGAUAGAAAGUAAAUUGUAUUUUAUUUUUAAACCGUUCUGUAAAGUCUACAUAUAAGAUUAAUUUGUAUUCGUGUCAGGUAAGUCUAUAAAAGAAAUAAAAUAUUCUCAACAAAAGAAAUAAAAUAUUCCCAUCUCCACCCCUCUUUGGUUAUUUAUUUAUUUUUCCAUCAGUCGGUAGGUUGAUUUCUCAGAUUUGGACAUUACUUCAGAUUUGAUUACUAAAAUUGGGCUGGGCCUAACGGAUAUAUAUAAGCCCUUGAACUGGAACUUCAAAAUGGACUCGUUAACUUGAAACGGCUUUGUUCUUUUUUUUUUUUUUUUUUUUUUUUUUGGAAUUUUCAUUUUUUGUUUUUGGGUUAUAGUCAAGGGUUAGGUGUUGAAUCCGAUGAUGUCACCAUGAUUUAUAAUUCCAUUUCACAUGAGAUUUCAAAAUUAAUUUUAUUUUGGAAAAAAAAAAAAAAGAAAAACAAAACGAAAGUCAUUUUUAUUUUAUUUCCUCAUUAAUCAUUUUUGUGAGACAGUGGUAUAAGAACUUCUAUAGCAAAUAAUAUUUUUUGAUUUGUUAAGUGUUUAAAAAAUAAAUAUUUUCCGUUAUUUUAAAAAGAAAAUAAGGACCAUUAUGAACAAGGGUGUAAAUGUUAAUAUAUGAUCAUUUUGUUUCCAUGUGUGUAAGAAAUAAUAGAUCAACCGCUAAUGCAUUGAUAUACCACCUGAGGCGGUGGUCUAGUGGUAAAGGUGUUGAUAAUUCUCCUGCUUGAUUCAUAAUUAAUUCUCUACAAUAGCAUUCCAUUAUGCAUUAGGUCGGGCUCUACUAUCGUGGGGCUGAGGAUCGCAACGCUAUGAUCCUGCGUGAGACAUUAGGAAUAAAUCUCUAUAAAUUCUAACACAUUGAUCAUUCAUGAUCAGAUGCUUGGCUAAUUAUUCUUGAGUCAUUCUUUUAUUAUAUGUUUAUCGUCUAUAAUCUUAUUUCUUAUAUUCUGUGGUAAUAUCAAACGGUCCAUAUCUAUUUAAUCCAAAAUCAAAAGCUAGUUGUUAAUGCAUUUAUGUCUUCAUUUAUCAAUAUAGGAUAAAUGAGGUGAUUGUUGGAUUUGUUGCCAAAUAUGAGCAAUCUGAUACAUCUCCUAAACAAAUAAAUCAAAUACUUAAGGACCAAGUGGAAAGAUAUCUUCACAUUGAAGCUGUAUCCAAUGGUUGAAACAUCCUAAUCAAACCAUCCAAGUGGUCAAACCAACCCAUGUUUAGUAGCACCCAAGACCACCAAUUUUCCUCAUUGUCUACCCAUCAAAUGUUAAUAAUGGAUUAAAUUAGAUAUGAUCAUUAAUUUUGCUUCUAUUAUAAUAUGAAUAGCCUCCAAGAUUCUAUUCCUUUAUAUUCAAAUCAUGCAAUUCAAUUUUAUUGGAAUCCAUAUUAUUAAAGAAUUGCCCUAUUCAUGCAUAUAUGCAUCUCCCACUUUCAAUCCACUUUUAAUUUUUUUUUUAUUUAAAUAUCUCUUUACUUACAUUGAAUUGGGUGUCCCUUUAUUUCACCUUAUAGCAGCUUUUUUUCCUUCUAAUUUAUUAAAAUUGGGAAUGAGAUUCAGCUCUCUAGUGCAUACCAAUGGGAGGAGGGCAGACUGACAAGUGAGAAGUUACUGAAUAACAAAAUUUCAAUUAAUAAUUAUUAAAAUCAACAUUAUAGUGAAAAAAAUUCAUUAUCACCUAACGAUUUUAGAUGAAAAUGACCUGAAAAUUCAUUUUUCACAUUUUUUUUUUUAAUUCAAGAGCUAAAUUAGACUUUAUCCUAGUUAAAAGUCUAUUUUUGCGGCUAAAUGUGUGCCUGUCAACCAUCGCUAAACCCAAAGUUGCAUAUAUCAUAUAUAAAAGAGAAAGGAAAACAACCCUUUGAGAAAGUGAUAAAGGAGGACAUUUUUUAGCAAUUUAAAUGUUAUUUUCAAGAACCCAUUUGAACAGGAAAGAGCAAAUUAAAGCUGGAAGAUAAUUUGAUUCUUACAGUUGAAAGGAAAUAAAAAUGUUUGUUGAUUUAGAUUUACGAGGAUGAGACGAGAUGAUCUGAGGAUAUUUGUCCAAAGAUCAAACGAGAUUGCGAGAGGGAGUGGGGACAACAAGUUGUACUUUAUAUUUAUAAUUUGUACAUAGACGAAAAACACACCAUAUGAUUUGUGAUAUAGGUUGAUUGAUUGACAUAAUGUAAUAUGGAACCGACAGAGGGGGCAAAAUAGGAAUUAUUGAAUUGAAGGAGAGGUUGGACUUGGACCUAGGAAGCAUCUAAAUCCAAUCCAAGAUAAUUAAUUUAAUUUAAUUUUAUUUUAUUAAUAUUAAUUAAUGUAAAAAUUAGGGAUUAUAUGCUUAGUUGUUGUUAUUAGAGAUUAAAUGUAUCCUCACCAAGAAGGAGGAGGGAGGGGCCCAUUAAUAUUUAAUAAUUUUAAUUAAUUGAAUAUUGAAAAUGGGUUAGCCGAGUCAGACUCAUGGGGUGUGUGUAAGUCAAUGCAAAAUGUUGAAUCCUUUUUUGACGAUUUCUCUUCUCUCUCACAGGCACAGAACAGUUUGGCCCCACCCUUUUUUGUCUGAAAUUCCACGCACCACCAAUGGCAUGUUACCACUUCUACUUUCCUUUCCCAUCAUACCAUUCUCUUCCUUAGCGCGUCGCUUCACUUUCCGUUUAAUUUAUCUAAAAAAACGAAAUAUAAUUAAUAUGGUAAAAUUAUAAUUUUUCUUAAUACGUUUUUAUAUUAAUAUUAACAUUAUAUGAUAUAAAAUUUAAGAUAAUAAAAAAUUUUGCAAUUUGCUAACGUAGAUGGUACCAAUAUUUGGGUAAUAUUUAUUGACAAGGAUGCAUAUUAAAUAAGGGUAAAAUAGAAAAUUACAAAAAUUAUUCUCCUUAAAAAAUGAAAAUAUGACUGAAAUAAAUUUAAAAAAGGAAAGUAAAUCUAGCAAAUAUUUAUUCAUAAAGAUGCAUAUUAAAUAGAGAGUAUAAUAGAAAACAAAUACAAUUAUUUUUUACUGAAAAUGAAAUAUAUGAUUAUAAUUUGAAAUAAAUUAUUGAAAGAGAGUGAAUCUGUAUUUAUGAGACCGGUGGAGUAUAAGGAACUUUUAUGAAUUUUAAGAGAGUCAUCGUCAAUGUAAUGAAAGUCAAAAGAACUUUUAUGAAUUUUAAGAGAAUCAACGCUAAGAUAAUAAAAGUCGAUAAAAAGUUAGCAAAUGAAAAAGAUAUUAAUUGAACGGAUAUUUACAAUUAUUUUAUUGAGUAAAUUUAUUAAUUUUAAUUUUUGGGCAAAAUAAUUUGAUCAAAUAUACUUAUUUAAAAAUAUUAUUCAAAUUAAUAAAAUUUAAAAUAUCAAUCAGAUAAUUAUAUCUUGUGAUGUUUAAAUGGAUGAUGAGUUUUUUAUGGAUUAAUUUUGACUAUCAUGUCCCCUUGAAAAAGCCGUUAAAAUCAUCAAAUUCUGAAAUAAAAGCUAUUUUAGUAGCUGUUAGCUAUUUUAUUAGUGGUUAACUGUUAAAUAUUAACUGUUAGUGGUUAAAGAUUAUAUAGCAGUUUAAAAUAAAAGUGUUUGCUACAAAUAACUGUUUGAUUAGCUGUUUAAUAUAAAAUGACAAAAAAUAUAUAAAAGUGAGAGACAAAGUAAAGAAAAGUGAUAGGUAUAAGUAUCAUAAAAAAAUUAUAAAGUGUUAAUGAAUGUAACGUUUCAUAAAAUACUGUCUCAAACUCUAAAUAUUAGGGUAAAUAUUGUAUUAGCAAACGUUAUAAUUAAUUAAUACCGUGUUUCAACACUAUUAAAACACUAAACAUUAUUUCAAUUGCUGCUGUGGAAUAGGGCCAAAAGAGUCAUUAUAAAUUUAAAUAAUAUUUAGAUUUUAAGGAAAAGAAAGUAUUUAUUACGUAUUGUUGUCAAGACAAAUACUAUGAGAAAUCACUUUCAAAUACUAUGAGAAAUCACUUUCUUCUGUGCUCUAACGAAUGGAUAAUAAAUCCUUAGCAACAGUGUUUAUCAACUUAAUUAAUUGGCGACAUUAUUUGGUAAGUGCACAAACAGAAUCGAAUUUUUAAAUUCAUUAAUUUAUUAAAAAGUGAUUUAUGCUUUUAUAUUUUCUUAUUUCAAAGCGGGAAUUAAUUUUUUUAAUAAAAAUAGAACAAUUAAGAAUUUAAUAUUUUAAUAUGUGAUACUUAAUUAAUGGCUAUAUGUCAAAGUCAUAUCAAUAUAAAUUAGCGGUAUUGAACAUUAACUCUAUGUUUAAUGCACAUGAUAAAACUUAAUAUAAUUUAAUCCUAACAAAAUGUAACUCAAUGUAUUUUUAGUGUAAAUACUAAUAUUAAUACGAUGAAAUACAAAAUUUUUUUUUCUAGUAGUAAAAUUUCACAAUCUUAAAAUAAAAAAAAUAUAAAACCACAUUACACAUUUUGUUUUUAUUUUUAUUUUUUCAUAUUACCACGAAUAUUUUUAUUUUAUCUUUUUUUUUUCUAACUAAAACACCUAACUCCUAACUUCUACCAAAAAAAAAAAAAAAAGAAUCAAAUCUAGAGCUUUGCUCGAUUGUUUUAAGACCAAUCGACCAUUGAUUCUAAAUUCUUUUGCGAAAACCAAAUGAAUUGCUGUUCAACAACACUUGGCAGUCGGCAGAUACAUGUUUAAUUGAAAACUGGUCGUUGGAGCGUCAUGCACAUAGCCUAAAAUGGCGCGUGUUCAACAAAAUCAAAGAGGAAACUUCGAAGCCCUCAGUGCCCACCAAAACAUUUCUUACCAAACCAAAGAAGGUAACAAAGCCCCUCAUCUCAUCUCUUCAAAAGUCCCUCUCCUUCUCCUUCUUCUCCUCUCUCUCCCCCCUCUCUGUUGAGCUAGAAUCAAAGCAAAAUAGAGAGCAAUACCAUCACUCAAUCACACCCAUCAAUGGAAACCUCAUCAAGACACCAAGAAAACCACAACCCACAAUCUCUUAUCCCCUCCCCUAAUAGCCAUAGCAGUACCAGUAGCAGCAACAGCAGCAGCACCACCACCACUACCACUAAUAAUGGACUCCAUGGCAAUCAACCACCACUUCCCUCUCCCAAAGCCAUCACCAGAUCCGAAUCAGCUAACCCUUACCCAACUACCUUCGUCCAAGCGGA
rnacentral:lncRNA from 1 species